rnacentral:rRNA from 1 species
GCUGGCGGCAUGCCUUACACAUGCAAGUCGAACGGCAGCACGGGAGCAAUCCUGGUGGCGAGUGGCGAACGGGUGAGUAAUAUAUCGGAACGUGCCCAGUCGUGGGGGAUAACGUAGAGAAAUUUACGCUAAUACCGCAUACGAUCUAAGGAUGAAAGCGGGGGAUUCGCAAGGACCUCGCGCGAUUGGAGCGGCUGAUAUCAGAUUAGCUUGUUGGUGAGGUAAAGGCUCACCAAGGCGACGAUCUGUAGCUGGUUUGAGAGAACGACCAGCCACACUGGGACUGAGACACGGCCCAGACUCCUACGGGAGGCAGCAGUGGGGAAUUUUGGACAAUGGGCGAAAGCCUGAUCCAGCAAUGCCGCGUGCAGGAAGAAGGCCUUCGGGUUGUAAACUGCUUUUGUACGGAACGAAAAGGUCUGCCCUAAUACGGCGGGCCUAUGACGGUACCGUAAGAAUAAGCACCGGCUAACUACGUGCCAGCAGCCGCGGUAAUACGUAGGGUGCGAGCGUUAAUCGGAAUUACUGGGCGUAAAGCGUGCGCAGGCGGUGAUGCAAGACAGUUGUGAAAUCCCCGGGCUCAACCUGGGAAUUGCAUCUGUGACUGCAUCGCUAGAGUACGGUAGA